GGGGAAUAUUGGACAAUGGGGGCAACCCUGAUCCAGCCAUGCCGCGUGUGUGAAGAAGGCCUUCGGGUUGUAAAGCACUUUUGUCCGGAAAGAAAAGCUUCGGGUUAAUACCCCGGGGUCAUGACGGUACCGGAAGAAUAAGCACCGGCUAACUUCGUGCCAGCAGCCGCGGUAAUACGAAGGGUGCAAGCGUUACUCGGAAUUACUGGGCGUAAAGCGUGCGUAGGUGGUUUGUUAAGUCUGAUGUGAAAGCCCUGGGCUCAACCUGGGAACGGCAUUGGAUACUGGCAGUCUAGAGUGCGGUAGAGGGGUGUGGAAUUCCCGGUGUAGCAGUGAAAUGCGUAGAUAUCGGGAGGAACAUCUGUGGCGAAGGCGACACCCUGGACCAGCACUGACACUGAGGCACGAAAGCGUGGGGAGCAA
rnacentral:rRNA from 1 species